CUCGGAGUUUGAUCCUGGCUCAGAUUGAACGCUGGCGGAAUGCUUUACACAUGCAAGUCGAACGGUAGAGGGGGCAACCCCUUGAGAGUGGCGAACGGGUGAGUAAUAUAUCGGAACGUGCCCAGUCGUGGGGGAUAACGUAGCGAAAGUUACGCUAAUACCGCAUACGAUCUAACGGAUGAAAGCGGGGAUCGCAAGACCUCGCGCGAUUGGAGCGGCCGAUAUCAGAUUAGGUAGUUGGUGGGGUAAAGGCUCACCAAGCCAACGAUCUGUAGCUGGUCUGAGAGGACGACCAGCCACACUGGAACUGAGACACGGUCCAGACUCCUACGGGA
rnacentral:rRNA from 1 species